AUUGAACGCUGGCGGCAUGCCUUACACAUGCAAGUCGAACGGCAGCACGGGAGCAAUCCUGGCGGCGAGUGGCGAACGGGUGAGUAAUAUAUCGGAACGUGCCCAGUCGUGGGGGAUAACGUAGCGAAAGCUACGCUAAUACCGCAUACGAUCUAUGGAUGAAAGCGGGGGAUCGCAAGACCUCGCGCGAUUGGAGCGGCCGAUAUCAGAUUAGGUAGUUGGUGAGGUAAAGGCUCACCAAGCCGACGAUCUGUAGCUGGUCUGAGAGGACGACCAGCCACACUGGGACUGAGACACGGCCCAGACUCCUACGGGAGGCAGCAGUGGGGAAUUUUGGACAAUGGGCGCGAAGCCUGAUCCACGCAAUGCCGCGUGCAGGAUGAAGGCC
rnacentral:rRNA from 1 species